UUUCGUCUAGUUUCGUCUGACGCGUACUUUGGAGAUUGGUUUGGUUGCUCAUUCCACGACCUUAUGCGUAUUCUGUCUCACCAUAUGUAUGUUAGAAAUGCUUUGCCAGAUAUGACAAGACUGCUCCCAACAUAUCUGGAAAAGUUUACCAAAAUUUCGCCAACGCCUCAAGUUGUCAUACAACUGUUAGAAUUUCUCUCUGAUACUCUCAAUACACGGUAACUCUUGCUGAUAAUGUCAUUU